CGAACGGGUGAGUAACACGGUGGGUGAUCUGCCCUGCACUUCGGGAUAAGCUUGGGAAACUGGGUCUAAUACCGGAUAGGACCAUCGUUUAGUGUGGUGGUGGAAAGUUUUUUCGGUGUGGGAUGAGCUCGCGGCCUAUCAGCUUGUUGGUGGGGUAAUGGCCUACCAAGGCGUCGACGGGUAGCCGGCCUGAGAGGGUGUACGGCCACAUUGGGACUGAGAUACGGCCCAG
rnacentral:rRNA from 1 species